rnacentral:misc_RNA from 1 species
UUGAAUGCGUUGAAAGCUGUUGUUGCUGGUGAUUGAUUUCACAUUUUGUGCACGCAGUUGUUCAUUCAUCCACACACACACCUUUGUGAACUCAUGUGGACGGAAAGGUUUAACUACCUGGAACUCCAUUUUUACUACACACACAUUGAUCAUUAUUGUAUCGUGGGCUUAAUGAUAAAUAAAA